UCCAGGGCGGGUGCAUCCGGUGCAACCGGCGAACGGCGUGGGAGCGGCUGGCGCUCCAAGGAGGCCGCUAUCAGCAGGCAGCCUGGGCUCAGGCGCUCUCUCAAAAUCCUAACGGCUGCCAACGAUUGAACCGUCGCCAGGCUCCGGGCUCCGUGCCAAGCGCUGUCAAAAGGACUGGCCCUUGAACUGGCGCAACUCUAUGCAGAUGAGACUCCUGUGGCCCCCAUUUUAGCGAUGAACAGUCUGAGGCUUAGAGAAGGGACGUGGUGACCUCUGAGUCUGCACUGGAGCAUUCCCCUUCCAGCAGGAGUCCGGCUUCGUCAUAGCGCACCUGGGGCACUUGGCCAGGCAGAGAGCAGAGCCGGCCCCGUGGGAGACCGCUCCCAUCUUUUGUGAAAUCCUUCGUCCAUUCCAGAGGUGAAGCCGGGAGUUCUGGAGGUCAAGGAAGACCGUCUGAGAAGGAAGACCGUCUGAGGAGGUGACCUGUGAGCAGAGACCUGAAUGAAGUGAGGGAGUGAGACCUGGAGGAUACCUGGGCAGAGGAGUGGCAUGUGCAAAGGCCCUGAGGCUGAAGCAAGAGCAGCCCACAAUCACGAGGAGAGGAGACGAGAAGGCAUCGCCGAUAAAGGCAAGAGGAUGGAACUGUGGCGGAGAGAGACAGGGAAAUUCUAUCUCUGAAAAGCCCAGUUAGAAAAGCUCCAGUGAGCACGAAACUGAGGGCUGGAAAUGUGGCAAUAGUCUGGCUCCGUGCUCUCCGGAGCCAGCUGUGCGGGGACGACAUCUUCACCCUGUGUGGACGUGCCUGGGCUCCCCUGGGCUGGCUCAGUGGGGAGGGGCUUUGGGCCGCACGACCCCUUCCCCCGGCGGCUCUGCUCUCAACUGUUUCCAACUGUAUAUCAGAAUAAGAUUUCUUCCAAAGAAAGGGUGAAAUGAAAAGAUUUGAACAUUUUGAAAAAAAUGUUUACCGAAAAUGUGCUCUCUGACUAAUGAACAGGAAGCCUGCUCUGAUGAUUCUGUAGAAAAAUGGCAUAAGAACGUGUGUACUUCUGGGGGAUCCGGUGAGAAGACUCGAGUCAGCGGUAAUUGCAUCUCGAUGGUUCUUCCUGAAGAUGGACAUCCAGAGUCCACGCUGCGUGGUGGGCCAGGAACCAUGGCUGUCGUCUUCCCCACGCUGUGAGGUGUGAAUGUUUUGUAUGAAAGAGGAAAAGCCUGUGGAGAAAGAAGGUGAGCCAGGCGAACUUGGAAAUCUAAUCCAGAAAAUCUAAUCUAGAAAGUUUGCCAAUGAAAGAAAUGAACGGAUGAGGCCAUUUGCUGGCCGCUCGUGUGCCUCCAUCUCCUGCACAGUUUUUUCCAUGUAUGAGAAAACAACGAUUAUAAACGUGUUGUUGGUUCUGGAAAGCAGCACAUUCUUGAGCCCAACGUGGGGUUUUUGGACAACCUAGAGAAGCAGUUGAGUGAUGACCAACAACCUCCAUCCACGGAGGGGCCCCUGAUCGCCAGGUCCACACGGCAUGCGCCCAGCGGACAGGCAGACCCACUAAUGUCAACUGGUCUUGGACAAAGGAGCAAAGGCAAUACAAGGCAGCAAGGGCAGUCUUUUCAAAAAAUGCUACUGGAAGAA